GUAUUUGGCACAGCAGUUGGAAAAAUAUCAGUAAACUCUUCGUCUUCUGACAGACUGGGGCCAAGAACCAGGCUUCAGACACAGCUCCGAUUCCCACAGGCGGACAGACUGAUCGAAAACAGAACAGUCUCGGCACUACCAGACUUGAAGCAGGGCCACACAUGAACUUGAAGAGCAAUAUUUGUUUUACUGACCAACCAGUCUUCAAAGCAGCCAGUCCAUUCUGUUAAAGAGUCUGCUCUUUCAAAGCACUCACCUACACACAAUGGCCAAUUAACCUUCACACCACACAUCUUGUCCAGAUGACAGAAGACAGAUGUGCAGGAGAACAUACAAACACCACUGAGACAGCACUGGGUGCCAGGAUUCAACAUGGGUCGCUGGAGCUGUGGCUCUGCUAAUAGUGCCGCUGCUCCUGAGGAAGCAAUUGGCCACUGACUGAUGUCAGUCAUUGCCAGCCUUGCCAAGAUCAGAAACAGUAUGGAGAAGUGCACAUCCUGAACUUGGACAAAACCCACUGACGGCCUGGCUCAUUUUUAUCCUACGUUGUUUCAUCAUUCAACAGUGAAAGGCAUUAAAUUUAGCAUGUCCUUCAAGAAGAGCAAAGGAAUCUCAGUCUACCCUUUUCCUUAAUCCACCAUUAUCUUGUCAAGGGUACCAACUCAACUGGUUUAUAUUUGAGACUAAUUCAUUUAG